CCUACGGGAGGCAGCAGUGGGGAAUAUUUGGCAAUGGGCGCAAGCCUGACCCAGCAACGCCGCGUGAAGGAAGAAGGCUUUCGGGUUGUAAACUUCUUUUCUUAGGGACGAAGCAAGUGACGGUACCUGAGGAAUAAGCCACGGCUAACUACGUGCCAGCAGCCGCGGUAAUACGUAGGUGGCAAGCGUUAUCCGGAUUUACUGGGUGUAAAGGGCGGGUAGGCGGGAAAGCAAGUCAGAUGUGAAAACCAUGGGCUCAACCUGUGGCCUGCAUUUGAAACUGGUUUUCUUGAGUACUGGAGAGGCAGACGGAAUUCCUGGUGUAGCGGUGAAAUGCGUAGAUAUUAGGAGGAACACCAGUGGCGAAGGCGGUCUGCUGGACAGCAACUGACGCUGAGGCGCGAAAGCGUGGGGAGCAAACAGGAUUAGAUACCCCUGUAGUC
rnacentral:rRNA from 1 species